GACGAACGCUGGCGGCGUGCUUAACACAUGCAAGUCGAACGGAAAGGCCCUGCUUUUGUGGGGUGCUCGAGUGGCGAACGGGUGAGUAACACGUGAGUAACCUGCCCUUGACUUUGGGAUAACGUCAGGAAACUGGGGCUAAUACCGGAUAGGAGCUCCUGCUGCAUGGUGGGGGUUGGAAAGUUUCGGCGGUUGGGGAUGGACUCGCGGCUUAUCAGCUUGUUGGUGGGGUAGUGGCUUACCAAGGCUUUGACGGGUAGCCGGCCUGAGAGGGUGACCGGCCACAUUGGGACUGAGCUACGGCCCAGACUCCUACGGGAGGCAGCAGUGGGGAAUAUUGCACAAUGGGCGGAGGCCUGAUGCAGCAACGCCGCGUGCGGGAUGACGGCCUUCGGGUUGUAAACCGCUUUCGCCUGUGACGAAGCGUGAGUGACGGUAAUGGGUAAAGAAGCACCGGCUAACUACGUG
rnacentral:rRNA from 1 species